rnacentral:rRNA from 1 species
AGAGUUUGAUCAUGGCUCAGAAAUAACGCUGGCGGCAUGCCUAACACAUGCAAGUCGCACGAGAAAGCCCGGUUCGCCGGGCGAGUAAAGUGGCGCACGGGUGAGUAACGCGUGGAUAAUCUACCUCAUUCUGGGGGAUAACGUACCGAAAGGUGCGCUAAUACCGCAUAACCCGGUUGAUUUUCGGAUUGACCGGUAAAGGUGACCUCUUCAUGAAAGUUACCGGGAAGAGAUGAGUCCGCGUCCCAUUAGCUUGUUGGUGGGGUAAUGGCCUACCAAGGCUCCGAUGGGUAGCUGGUCUGAGAGGACGAUCAGCCACACUGGAACUGGAACACGGUCCAGACUCCUACGGGAGGCAGCAGUGAGGAAUAUUGCGCAAUGGGGGAAACCCUGACGCAGCGAUGCCGCGUGGGUGAAGAAGGCCUUCGGGUCGUAAAGCCCUGUCAAGUGGGAAGAAAUGUCUUAGGGCUAAUAUCCUUAGGGCUUGACGGUACCACUGAAGGAAGCACCGGCUAACUCCGUGCCAGCAGCCGCGGUAAGACGGAGGGUGCAAGCGUUAUUCGGAUUUAUUGGGCGUAAAGAGCGUGUAGGCGGCCGGUCAAGCCAGAUGUGAAAGCCCAGGGCUUAACCCUGGAAGUGCAUUUGGAACUGGUUGGCUUGAGUUCGGGAGAGGGAAGUGGAAUUCCGGGUGUAGAGGUGAAAUUCGUAGAUAUCCGGAGGAACACCGGUGGCGAAGGCGACUUCCUGGACCGAAACUGACGCUGAGACGCGAAAGCGUGGGGAGCAAACAGGAUUAGAUACCCUAGUAGUCC